GACGAACGCUGGCGGCGUGCUUAACACAUGCAAGUCGAACGGCUCUUCGGAGCAGUGGCGGACGGGUGAGUAGCGCGUGGGAACGUGCCCUUUGGUUCGGAACAACACAGGGAAACUUGUGCUAAUACCGGAUGAGCCCUUUGGGGGAAAGAUUUAUCGCCUUUAGAGCGGCCCGCGUCUGAUUAGCUAGUUGGUGAGGUAAUGGCUCACCAAGGCUACGAUCAGUAGCUGGUCUGAGAGGAUGACCAGCCACAUUGGGACUGAGACACGGCCCAAACUCCUACGGGAGGCAGCAGUGGGGAAUUUUGCGCAAUGGGCGAAAGCCUGACGCAGCCAUGCCGCGUGGAUGAUGAAGGUCUUAGGAUUGUAAAAUCCUUUCACCGGUGAAGAUAAUGACUGUAGCCGGAGAAGAAGCCCCGGCUAACUUCGUGCCAGCCGCCGCCGUAAAAC
rnacentral:rRNA from 1 species